rnacentral:rRNA from 1 species
CAAUACCAUGAGUAAAGUGGCGCACGGGUGAGUAACACGUGACUAACCUACCCUGGAGUGGGGGAUAACUGAGGGAAACCUUAGCUAAUACCGCAUAACACCUACGGGUCAAAGGAGCAAUUCGCUUCAGGAGGGGGUCGCGGCCGAUUAGUUAGUUGGCGGGGUAAUGGCCCACCAAGACGAUGAUCGGUAUCCGGCCUGAGAGGGCGCACGGACACACUGGAACUGAAACACGGUCCAG